AGUACUGUGAAGGAAAGGUGAAAAGGACCCCGGGAGGGGAGUGAAAGAGAACCUGAAACCCUGUGUUUACAAGCUGUGGGACAUCUUUACAUGAUGAACCGCGUACUUUUUGUAGAACGGUCCGGCGAGUUGCGGAUGCCGGCAAGGUUAAGCACUUAAGGUGUGGAGCCGAAGGGAAACCAAGUCUGAAGAGGGCGCAUAUAGUCAGUAUCCGCAGACCCGAAACCGGGUGAUCUACCCAUGUCCAGGUUGAAGUUGCCGUAAAAGGCAAUGGAGGACCGAACGCACAUCCGUUGAAAAGGGUGGCGAUGAGGUGUGGGUAGGGGAGAAAUUCCAAUCGAACCCGGAGAUAGCUGGUUCUCCUCGAAAUAGCUUUAGGGCUAGCCUCGUUUUAGUCUUAUGGAGGUAGAGCACUGAAUUUCCGCGGGGGCGUCAAAGCUUACCAAAGAAUAUCAAACUCCGAAUGCCAUGUAGAUGAUGAACGGGAGUCAGACUGCACGAGAUAAGUUGGGCAGUCAAAAGGGAAAGAGCCCAGACCUACAGCUAAGGUCCCAAAGUGUGUGUUAAGUGGAAAAGGAUGUGGGAUUUCAAAGACAACUAGGAUGUUGGCUCAGAAGCAGCCACACAUUCAAAGAGUGCGUAAUAGCUCACUAGUCGAGAGGUCCUGCGCCGAAAAUGUCCGGGGCUGAAACACAACACCGAAGCUUAGGAAUGUAUGUAAGUACAUUGGUAGAGGAGCAUUCUUAGUGCGGAGAAGCGGUACCGAUAAGGAGCCGUGGAGCGUUAAGAAGAGAGAAUGCCGGAAUGAGUAGCGAGAUGGAGGUGGGAAUCCUCCAGGCCGAAUAUCCAAGGUUUCCAGAGUAAAGCUGAUCUGCUCUGGGUAAGUCGGGGCCUAAGGCGAGGUCAAAAGACGUAGCCGAUGGACAACAGGUUUAGAUUCCUGUACCGCAUAUAAACAGAACUGUGGGGACGCAUGGGGAGAGCAUGGGCCGGGAAUGGAAAUACCGGUGCAAGCGAAGGAGGUGUGCAGCCGGCAAAUCCGCUGCAUGAGCCGAAAGCGUGACGCGGAGCGAAAUGAAAGUAGCGAAGCAUGUGAGCCCUGUGCCGAGAAAAGCCGCUAUAGCUUUAUAUGUGCCCGUACCGUAAACCGACACAGGUGGAUGAGGAGAGAAUCCUAAGGCCGGCGGAAGAAGCAUUGUUAAGGAACUCGGCAAAAUGACCCCGUAACUUCGGGAGAAGGGGUGCCACAGAGAUGUGGCCGCAGAGAAUAGGCUCAAGCAACUGUUUAGCAAAAACACAGGUCUAUGCGAAACCGAAAGGUGAAGUAUAUGGGCUGACGCCUGCCCGGUGCUGGAAGGUUAAGAGGAGAGGUUAGCGCAAGCGAAGCUUUGAAUUUAAGCCCCAGUAAACGGCGGCCGUAACUAUAACGGUCCUAAGGUAGCGAAAUUCCUUGUCGGGUAAGUUCCGACCCGCACGAAAGGCGUAAUGAUUUGAGCGCUGUCUCAACAAUGCACCCGGUGAAAUUGAAAUACCAGUGAAGAUGCUGGUUACCUGCGCCAGGACGGAAAGACCCCAUGGAGCUUUACUCCAGUUUGAUACUGGGAUUCGGUAUUGCAUGUACAGGAUAGGUGGGAGGCUUUGAAACAUGGACGCCAGUCUGUGUGGAGCCAAUGUUGGGAUACCACCCUUGCGAUAUUGGGUUUCUAACCUGCGCCCGUGACCCGGGCGGGGGACAAUGUCAGGCGGGGAGUUUGACUGGGGCGGUCGCCUCCGAAAGGGUAUCGGAGGCGCUCAAAGGUUCCCUCAGAAUGGUCGGAAACCAUUUGAAGAGUGCAAAGGCAGAAGGGAGCUUGACUGCGACACCGACGGGUGGAGCAGGUACGAAAGUAGGACUUAGUGAUCCGGUGGUAUGAAAGUGGGAUUGCCAUCGCUCAACGGAUAAAAGCUACCCUGGGGAUAACAGGCUUAUCACUCCCAAGAGUUCACAUCGACGGAGUGGUUUGGCACCUCGAUGUCGGCUCAUCGCAUCCUGGGGCUGUAGCAGGUCCCAAGGGUUGGGCUGUUCGCCCAUUAAAGCGGUACGCGAGCUGGGUUCAGAACGUCGUGAGACAGUUCGGUCCCUAU
rnacentral:rRNA from 1 species